rnacentral:rRNA from 1 species
GACGAACGCUGGCGGCGUGCUUAACACAUGCGAGUCGAACGGAAAGGCCCCCAUCUUGGUGGGGGUGCUCGAGUGGCGAACGGGUGAGUAACACGUGGGUGAUCUGCCCUGUACUUCGGGAUAAGCUUGGGAAACUGGGUCUAAUACCGGAUAGGACCAUGGUUUAGUGUCUCAUGGUGGAAAGAUUAUUGUUUUGGUGCAGGAUGAGCUCGCGGCCUAUCAGCUUGUUGGUGGGGUAAUGGCCUACCAAGGCGUCGACGGGUAGCCGGCCUGAGAGGGUGGACGGCCACAUUGGGACUGAGAUACGGCCCAGACUCCUACGGGAGGCAGCAGUGGGGAAUAUUGCACAAUGGGCGCAAGCCUGAUGCAGCGACGCCGCGUGGGGGAUGACGGCCUUCGGGUUGUAAACUCCUUUCGUUAGGGACGAAGCCGCACUUUUUUUGGGUGUGGUGACGGUACCCUUGUUAAGAAGCACCGGCUAACUACGUG